rnacentral:lncRNA from 1 species
UAACAGGCUAGAUGAGGCUGAGCACUGCCCCCUUUCCCAUGCUGAUAAAGCAGAAUCACUGCACUCAGCAUGUGAGUAAGAUGUCCAUACUUCCAGUCAGUCUUCUCUGUGAACAUAUCUGGAUGCCCGAUGGAAUUAUUUCAUUGGCAUAUCUCGCUGAGUAGGUGUAACCACAGCCGCCACUUCAAGUUCGUGUUAACUGAGCAGCUUUUCCCAACAAAACUAACCUCCCAGGGAGAAAAAAAAUGCAUAAACAUAACACACUUGUAAUUUGUUAAAUCUAAAUUAUUCUGAUAAGCAUAUUGCUCUU